rnacentral:lncRNA from 1 species
CAUACAACACCCGGCAGGAAAAAACAAAAACAGCAAGUUUACAUGAUCCCUGUAACAGCCAUGGUCUCAAACUCAGAUGCUUCCUCCAUCUGCCAAGUGUGUUCUGGAUACAGAGCACAUCGUGGCUUCUGGGGUCACACUCAGCUUAGGCUGUGGGUCCACAGAGCACUCAUCUGGCUGGGCUAUGGUGGUGGUGGCUCUACUCAAGAAGCAAAGCAGUUACCAGCACAUUCAAACAGUGUAUUGAACAUCUUUUAAAUAUCAAAGUGAGAAACAAGAAGGCAACAUAAUAAUGUUAUCAGAAAGAUGUUAGGAAGUAAGGACAGCUGUGUAAAGCUUGAGGCUGAAAAGUAGCUUGCCAGCUUCAUUUCUUUGGUUUCUUGGGUAGUGGGCGCCGGAACAGCAAGAUGUGAGGUUCUGGUUCAUGGAUCAUAUAAUGGACCCAUCCCUGACUCUGCUGAACGCCAAGAUUCCUCCAUUCAGAUUCAGACAUCAGAUGGGUUUUAGGGACCAGCUUGGCUAUGUCCUUGGGCAGCAUGACAUGUCUGUAACAGAAACGGGGAAGUGGGGAAUUUAUGUUAGUACCAGAUACAGUCUCUUAGACAAAUGCCUGUUUACAAGGCCAAGAAAGGAAAGAAAAACUGGUUUUUGAUGUCAGAGUUUAUAUAAUUUUAUUGUGGGGUAGCAGCAGCUAGAAAUACAGGCUAUGUUAUAUAAAUUCCGAGAGUAUAUUAAAAAUACAAAUUAGUGAAUAAUUCCAGUGAAUGAGCACUUAAGUUCAAGGCACAUUUUCUCCGCCUUCAUGGACCUUAUAGUCUUCUAGUUGAUUAUCUACAACAUAAUGGGAGCCCCACGGAGCACACAGUGUUAAUAAUUAG